UUACUGCGGGGGCUGACUCCAGGGCUCCAGAGCUGGCCCCGCCACUGGGGUUGUUCCUCCAGGGGCCUCAUGGGGUAAACUAACUUUUCAAAGGCCCCCAAAUUAAACAUAACCCUUGGCAGCUUUAUUGCAGUCACAGUACGAGAUAGUCAGGUGCCCCACGACAUUUUUCAGUCCUCUCAUCUAUUCUGCAGAUGUUAAUUUGACUCUUUGCUAGGAGAGACAAGAGAGGAAAACUAUCAUCCACCACAAGUAGAGGUAACAGUGAACUGGAAAGCCCUAACAUAUAAAGCAACGUUUCAUCAUUUGGUCUCACCGCUGAUGUUUAAGUGAUGUCUGUAAACAUACCAGUAAAUCGGGAGUUGAAAUUUUCUCUAAAAGACUGAAAAUAGGCACAGUUCUCCCAGGCACAGAGACAGUGGGUUUUCCUUACACCCAUCCUGCAAACUGGGGGAGAAGAAAAAACAAAAACAAUAAGGGACUUUAACACCCCACAUAUCAGUGGAUAGAUCAUCCAGGUUGAGGGGGAAAGUCAAGAAACCAUGGCUUUGAAUGGCACAUUAGACUAGAUGGUCCUAACUGAUCUAUAAAGAACAUUCCAUCUAAAACCAGAAUACACAUUCUUUUCAAGUGCGUGUGGGACAUUCUCCAGGAGAGGUCAUAUGGUAUGGAAUGAGGUUUCUGUGAGUUGUCCUGUUAUAACCAGCCACCCAACUUGCACAUACACAUGUGAACUAAAGCAUGUGGUUUGUGAGACUUGUGCUGUAUAAGUGACCUUGGGAGCCUAGUUAGUUGACAUUAUCUGGCCUCCAGGUCAGAACUGGCCCUUCUGGUCUGGACGCCAAGAGAGGUCAAUCUUGCCUCACAUUCCCUCCUGCUCCAACCCCCAGAAUGGAAUCCAGGAGAGGAGACCAGCAUAUCCAGCCCAGGGUCCUUGAAUAUGUAAAGACAUGAUAACACAGGAAUGCAGCUAGCUCUGUACUACACAUAAGCAAGCAAAUAUUUACCUUCAGAUCCCAUCAUUUCCCUAUAAAUACAGUCCUUAUAGGGAUAGUCAGUUGGAAGUCUCACCUGAGGGAAGGAUGCUCCACCCAGACCUCUCAUUGGGAUUCCAGCUUGGCGGUCUCCACGGGGUUUCCCCAGCUGAUGAGAUGCCACCAACAGCUCACAACUUACCAGCUCCAGGACAAGGCCAACAACCUUCCAUUUGGAGAACAUGGUGAGCUCCAAAGUGUUCUGAGUGCAGAGUCCUCAGGUCCCUCAGGAAAUGCCCAAUUCUGGAGCACUGCAUGGUUCUCACCACGUCUGUUUCCUGCCUUUCUCCCAGCAGCCCUCAAGCCCCAGCAGUAUCGUUCACCUCUGUCCAUCAUCUAGAUCCUGGACUUAAAAUUAGAACCUGGAUCCCAGUUCCAUUUAAGAUUUCCAUGAAUGCUUUCUUCCUCAAAACUAGUAAAGUGACGAAAAGUGAAAUGUAACUAGAUCUUCUGGUUCUGGAUUGUAGCAGCGAUUGAGAUGGAAUCCUAAAAAUAGGAAAGGCAAGAGACAUGGAAGGACCUCAGUUUCCUAGGGAACUUGGUACCUGUCACCUUGUCAUUAUCAUUCUUCUUGCAUGGAGUCUCCUUUACAAUCGUUAGCAACCUUUACUGCCUGAACUUGAUCAAGAAUUUACCAUUGGAAACCAGACUUUGAUUCAGCUUGAGAGAGAAAAAGAGUAUCACAGUUAUGUACUCACCACUCCUCCCCAUCCCCAAACCCAGCAUAGGGAAAACAAAAUUUGAACUUGAAUAAAAUAAACCUGCCUCUUUCUA